CUGGGCUGGUCGGGCGGAUCCCGGAGAGGGGGAGCCGCGGGGACGCAGCGACAGACUCGGGGUGCUGGCAGCGGCAGCCCACGCCUCCCAGGGAUUGCAGGCCUGGGCGCCGGGGUUGGACCAGUCUCCCGGGCAUGGCACGCCCUGGUUAUUCUGUACCCGUGAUUUGUGGCGGGGCAAGACGUUAAGUUGGGUGACACCGAGGUGAGCCACGGUCCUCGGCACCAGAUGAGGAACCACUGUCUCAAUAAGUGACACCAGUGAUGCUGUUAAACAAGGACAAUCCGGUUCAUGGAUUGUGACAACGCACGCUGACAUCAAGCAGACCCUGCCGUCAGGUACAGAGGGCACCACAGUGACCAGGAACUGCUGUCCUUUCAUACCAGGUUUUAGGAGGCUUUACCAGAAGGAAUGGAAAAUGCUGGUGGGCAGUAAGAUUGAAACAGCAUCUGAGGACUGGUUCUGCACAAAACCUUAAAUUCUUCAAGGACUUUGACAUUUGUUUAUUCUUGUAACAAAUUAAAACCUAUCCUGUGUGUUGGUUAGAGAUCUUCAAACUGUAAAUACCUUGAGGCAGGAGUGAGGUUUUUAUCUUUUAAAGGACAGGCCCCUACUCUCCUACGUAAUGAGUUUCUAAAAAUGGAUGUGAGCACCAAUCAAUAUUUCUCUGGUUGUUAAAGUCAAGAAUAAAAUGGUAUUUUUAAGCUCGCAACUGUGUAGGAUGAAUUCUGUACACUUUUAUUUCCCUCUGUUCUCCUUUCCUAUUUGAAAGUUUAUUAGUUUGUGGACUUGGGAUCGGAUUAUUCAUGCAUUAUUUUUUGAUGUUGUAUGUCUCUUGGUUCUUGGGUAUUUUUGACACAUAUUCUGUCUUGUAACCAUAGUUAAACAAUUGUUUUAGACCAACUCUCUGUGUGUAAUUGGCUUCAACACUCACUGCUAGUCCUUUGACGCUCUGUUUUUUUCCAUUCUUGAGUAAUUUUAAGUCAUCACUUGGGCAGUUGAAAUAUAUUUUAAAGUGAUUUAAAGAAUAUGUGAGUGGCAGACAUUCUGAACUCUUUUGGUUGUCUGUCCUCAAAAACUAAAACUUAUUUGUGAGUAAAAUUUUCAUCUAAGUGUUUUCCAUAUAAAAACUCUGUCAGCUACUGCUCCAUUGUAGUAGACACAAAAAAGUCAGCACAAUUUUCAUCCCUCCCUCCCUCCCUUCUCUUCCCCUUCCCCUUCUUGCCCUCCUUCCUUCCUUCCUUCUUUCCUUCCUUCCUUCCUUCCUUCCUUCCUUCCUUCCUUCCUUCCUUUUUCUUUUGUUUCUGAAUGUACAAAGAAAACACUUAAAAAUUUGCUUGUAAUUUAAAAACUUGUCAGGAUAUUUCUGGAUUUGAGUGUUUCUUGGUUACUUUUACCUGGAACCUGGUGAACUGAGUCCAUUCCUCUGUUUGCCCUUUCUGUACUUUUUUGGAAAGUUUUCUUUAAUUAUAUCUUCAAUUAUUGUUUCUCUUUUGAUUGUUCUAGAUUCUUCUUCAGAAACAUAACUCUUAGGCUCAAUCUCUAUUCCUGGUCUUCCAUAGCUAUCGUCUUCUUUUUAAAGUACUGUAUUUUAUUGAAUCUAAGCUAGUAUUUGUUGUAAGAAGCACUAUUAUUAUAUGUACAACUAAGGAAGAAAAAAUGCUGCCAAUUAAACUGUGACAUAAUGCCAUGAUUACAGUCCUGUGAAAUUGGUAAGUUGCUCACACCAUUCUCUCUCUUAUUUUGAUAGACUUCAUCUAUUUUGAGGGACUUGGCAGUUGCUCCUGCCUUUGGUUGCAUUGUUUGGCAUGUGACAGGCAAUUCUUUUUGCAUGAGUCUCAGUUACAAAACAUAACACAGUUUCUACUUAAGGAUACCUUCUUUUCUUGGGUCCUGUCAAGCACUUAGUUUAAAAAAAAAAAAAGAAUUGCAGUGGUUGGUCCAAUAAUAGACAUUUGCUUCAGUAAUAUCAAAUUACAUCCUGCUGCUUGAAUUCCAUGCCUUUCUGCAUACAUAAUAACUUCUCAUUUCAAUGCCAAACCAUAGUGUAAUCUUUUAAAAGACAUUUUAAAUGGCAAUUAAACUCACAUGUAAUUGCAACAAUGUAUACAACUCAAUUAAAGUGCUAACAACAUGAACAACUGAGACCAAGUUC
rnacentral:lncRNA from 1 species